CGUGUUGUAGUAAACGCCGGUGAUCUCUUCUUCAUAAAUCGGCACGACGAUUACCAUGCCAUGCGCCUUUGCAACUUCCUGCAUCAGCCGCACAGUUGGACCAUCGGGAAUUCUUUCGACCGCUUCAUACCAACGCGUCUGUUGCUCGGCACAAAAAUAAGGCGUCGUAAACACCUCCUGCAUGCACACAAUCUGCACGCCCUGCUCGGCUGCCUUCUCGAUAAAACCCAAAUGCUUUUCGAUGUUCAGGCGCUUAAUGUCUUCAAUCGGUAAAUCUGUAGGCGCCGCGUUGGUACAUUGAAUGAGACCGCAUUUAACUGUGCGUG
rnacentral:misc_RNA from 1 species